AGAUAACUAUGAGUCCAAUGAUGGACCUAGCAUUCUUGGAACCUGGUUCUUUUGCGCAAAGGGUAACCAGUCGAGUUUCCUGAAUGAUAGAGAUGGAUCCAAAAAUAUGAGUUAAUUAAUUUUCUUGGAUUCUUUCAUCUACUUCCUCGCUCCACGGAGUCCUCUAUUUGACAUUACAACCAAAGGUUGUAAUUGCGAUGACACCGAUUUGAUGGAGGAUUAAUAUCAGCUGAUUAUACUUGGAUUAGCUGGAACUCGCCUGUGGUUCAUUGGAUUGAAUUUACUACAGAAAAUGGAUUUAAAAUUUGAUAGCUCACGGGCACAUGUUCAGGUGCAACACAGAACUUAUAAUAUCCUUCUCUAAGAUAUACUUCGAUGCAGAUCCAACCAUCUCUGUCGUUGUAAAUGCGGCACAAUUGAAGGGUCGUGUCUUCACUGUUGUCGAGGAGUUCAACCAAGGUCA